GAUGAACGCUAGCUACAGGCUUAACACAUGCAAGUCGCGGGGCUGCAUGGGGGUUGCUUGCAAUCCCCGAUGGCGACCGGCGCACGGGUGAGUAACGCGUAUCCAACCUGCCCUUCACCACGGGAUAACCCGGCGAAAGUCGGACUAAUACCGUAUGUUGUCCAUUGACGGCAUCCGAUUUGGACGAAAGGCUUGGCGGUGAGGGAUGGGGAUGCGUCCGAUUAGCCAGACGGCGGGGUAACGGCCCACCGUGGCUACGAUCGGUAGGGGUUCUGAGAGGAAGGUCCCCCACACUGGAACUGAGACACGGUCCAGACUCCUACGGGAGGCAGCAGUGAGGAAUAUUGGUCAAUGGGCGUAAGCCUGAACCAGCCAAGUAGCGUGCAGGAUGACGGCCCUAUGGGUUGUAAACUGCUUUUAUGCGGGGAUAAAGUGGCCCACGUGUGGGCUUUUGCAGGUACCGCAUGAAUAAGGACCGGCUAAUUCCGUG
rnacentral:rRNA from 1 species